rnacentral:rRNA from 1 species
GUCCACGCCCUAAACUAUGUCAACUGGUUGUCGGGGAAGCAAUUCCUUGGUAACGAAGCUAACGCGUGAAGUUGACCGCCUGGGGAGUACGGCCGCAAGGUUAAAACUCAAAGGAAUUGACGGGGACCCGCACAAGCGGUGGAUUAUGUGGAUUAAUUCGAUGCAACGCGAAAAACCUUACCUACCCUUGACAUGUACGGAAUCUCGCAGAGAUGUGAGAGUGCUCGAAAGAGAACCGUAACACAGGUGCUGCAUGGCUGUCGU